rnacentral:rRNA from 1 species
GCUGGCGGCACGCCUAACACAUGCAAGUCGAGCGCUCACUUCGGUGGGAGCGGCGGACGGGUUAGUAACGCGUGGGAACAUACCCUUUACUACGGAAUAGCCUUUGGAAACGAAGAGUAAUACCGUAUACGCCCUACGGGGGAAAGAUUUAUCGGUAAAGGAUUGGCCCGCGUUAGAUUAGAUAGUUGGUGGGGUAACGGCCUACCAAGUCUACGAUCUAUAGCUGGUUUGAGAGGAUGAUCAGCAACACUGGGACUGAGACACGGCCCAGACUCCUACGGGAGGCAGCAGUGGGGAAUCUUAGACAAUGGGCGCAAGCCUGAUCUAGCCAUGCCGCGUGAGUGAAGAAGGCCUUAGGGUCGUAAAACUCUUUCGCCAGAGAUGAUAAUGACAGUAUCUGGUAAAGAAACCCCGGCUAACUCCGUGCCAGCAGCCGCGGUAAUACGGAGGGGGUUAGCGUUGUUCGGAAUUACUGGGCGUAAAGCGCACGUAGGCGGAUUAGUAAGUUAGAGGUGAAAUCCCAGGGCUCAACCCUGGAACUGCCUUUAAUACUGCUAGUCUUGAGUUCGAGAGAGGUAAGUGGAAUUCCGAGUGUAGAGGUGAAAUUCGUAGAUAUUCGGAGGAACACCAGUGGCGAAGGCGGCUUACUGGCUCGAUACUGACGCUGAGGUGCGAAAGUGUGGGGAGCAAACAGGAUUAGAUACCCUGGUAGUCCACACCGUAAACGAUGAAUGCCAGACGUCAGCAAGUAUACUUGUUGGUGUCACACCUAACGGAUUAAGCAUUCCGCCUGGGGAGUACGGUCGCAAGAUUAAAACUCAAAGGAAUUGACGGGGGC